CGGUUUUUUUUAUUAUUUAUUAUUACCUAUUCCUGUUGGCAGCCGGAUGAGGGGUAACGAUGUCGGCGUGAAACGCAGGAAGGCCCAGGUUCGCGUCUCGGAUCUGAUAACUCCUGAAAAUACCUUUCGGGGUGUUGGGCCCGGCUGGCUAUCCCCGUCCUUCACCAUCCGGCCCCCCUCCACGGAUGUGGGUACAGCCUGUGGUUAGAACUGCCCCGCCCGUUAGUAACCUCUCUGAUUGGAAAGGGUGUAAAAUAUGCAAAAAAAAAGCCUACUCCUGUUUUUAAUUUUUAUCCAGUGUUUGGCCCAUGAGGUUCUUGAACCACUAAACCAAACAGCUUCAGAAUUUAGUAAAAAAAAUAGCGUGAAAGUGAUUAAAAAUCUGAUUAGUUUAGUUUCAUGUUCAGGCCCUAUUUCUAUAUGUACGCAUUGCAAAACUAUUUCUAGAUUGUUUUAUGCAUUUGCAAAUAUGCUAAAAGAAAC
rnacentral:lncRNA from 1 species